rnacentral:rRNA from 1 species
UCUGGGACAAGCCCUGGAAACGGGGUCUAAUACCGGAUAACACUCUGUCCCGCAUGGGACGGGGUUAAAAGCUCCGGCGGUGAAGGAUGAGCCCGCGGCCUAUCAGCUUGUUGGUGGGGUAAUGGCCUACCAAGGCGACGACGGGUAGCCGGCCUGAGAGGGCGACCGGCCACACUGGGACUGAGACACGGCCCAGACUCCUACGGGAGGCAGCAGUGGGGAAUAUUGCACAAUGGGCGAAAGCCUGAUGCAGCGACGCCGCGUGAGGGAUGACGGCCUUCGGGUUGUAAACCUCUUUCAGCAGGGAAGAAGCGAAAGUGACGGUACCUGCAGAAGAAGCGCCGGCUAACUACGUGCCAGCAGCCGCGGUAAUACGUAGGGCGCAAGCGUUGUCCGGAAUUAUUGGGCGUAAAGAGCUCGUAGGCGGCUUGUCACGUCGGAUGUGAAAGCCCGGGGCUUAACCCCGGGUCUGCAUUCGAUACGGGCUAGCUAGAGUGUGGUAGGGGAGAUCGGAAUUCCUGGUGUAGCGGUGAAAUGCGCAGAUAUCAGGAGGAACACCGGUG